rnacentral:rRNA from 1 species
GGCCUGCGGAAGGAUCAUUACCGAGUUCUCGGGCUUCGGCUCGAAUCUCCCACCCUUUGUGAACAUACCUCUGUUGCUUUGGCGGCUCUUUGCCGCGAGGAGGCCCUCGCGGGCCCCCCCGCGCGCUUUCCGCCAGAGGACCUUCAAACUCCAGUCAGUAAACGUCGACGUCUGAUAAACAAGUUAAUAAACUAAAACUUUCAACAACGGAUCUCUUGGUUCUGGCAUCGAUGAAGAACGCAGCGAAAUGCGAUAAGUAAUGUGAAUUGCAGAAUUCAGUGAAUCAUCGAAUCUUUGAACGCACAUUGCGCCCCUUGGCAUUCCGAGGGGCAUGCCUGUUCGAGCGUCAUUACAACCCUCAAGCUCUGCUUGGUAUUGGGCGCCGUCCUCUCUGCGGACGCGCCUUAAAGACCUCGGCGGUGGCUGUUCAGCCCUCAAGCGUAGUAGAAUACACCUCGCUUUGGAGCGGUUGGCGUCGCCCGCCGGACGAACCUUCUGAACUUUUCUCAAGGUUGACCUCGGAUCAGGUAGCUCCCCGAAUC